UGUAAAAAUCUAGCUUUUAUAUAUUAACUUGUGAUCAGAGCAACUAGUAUGUUGGUUGGAUAUAUUACAUAUCCAUUCGAUGUUUAUCACCAGAAGUUAGUUCUACCUUUGCAGUACCUCUGCUUUACAUACCUCCUCGCUGGUUAAAGAAUGGAAUAUAAAUCUCAUAUCAAGUUGGUGUAAAAAUUUAGUUCAAUAAAUUAAGAAUUUAUAAACGUUCUCAAAAUUUUGAGUGGAGCAAUUGUUUUUCUGGUUUAGCAUGAGUAUGAAUCUGAUAUCAAUUGUAUGUACAAAGAUAGUUUACUUCUUAAAGAACCUAUCAGUAAACCAACUGAUUAUAAAACAGUUUUUAAUGGGAAUAAAAACAAAUUUUCAAAAGA